AGCUCACGCCUGUAAUCUCAGCACUUUGGGAGGCUGAGGCAGGUGGAUUGUUUGAGGUCAGGAGUUUGAGACCAGCCUGACCAACAUGGUGAAACCCUGUCUGUACUAAAAAUACAAAAAUUAGCCGGGCGCGGUGGCAGGCAUCUGUAAUUCCAGCUACUUGGGAGGCUGAGGCAUGAGAAUCACUUGAACUUAGGAGGCAGAGGUUGCAGUGAGCCGAGAUACACCACUGUACUCCGGCCUGGGCAAUAAAGCAAGACUUUGUCUCAAAAAAAAAAAAAAUAGUACAACUCACACAGAGGAGAAUUUGGCAGUUUCCAGUGAAACAAUGUAUGCCCCUAUCCUUUGAUCUAACCAUCAGAUUUUUAGGAAUUUUAGGAAUUUACCCUGAAGAUACUUCUACAAAUACCGAACAACGUAUAUAUAAGAUUAUCCAACUGCAGCGUUAUUUGCAUUAACAAAAUAAUGGAAAUACUCCCAAAUGCCUAUUCAAAGGAGUCUGAUUGAAUAGAUGAUGGUAGAUUCACACAAUAGAAUAUUAUGCAGCUAUGAAAAAGAAUGUGAAUGAUCUCUAUAAAUUAAUAUUAAGUGAUUUCCAGGAUAUACUAUUAAAUGAAUAAAGCAAGAUGCAGAAGAUAAUAUAGAGUAUGCCAACUUUUGCUUAGGAAUGACAAGGAAAUUAAAAAUAUGAGCAUACAUGUUUGCUUAUUUUUUAAAAAAGAAAAGAAACACAGGAAAUACAUUUCAGAAAUAAGUGAAAAGGGUUACCAAGAAGCGAUGGAUGAAAAUGAGACAGAAAGGAUACAGAUAAGAGCAAUGGGGAGAUAAUUUUUUUAAGCAAAGCCUAAUGUUGAACACAAAUAUAAAAAGUUAAUUGAACUUAGAAAUAAGGUAAGUAUGUCCCCUGUCUCAUCGCUGCUUUCAACAGUGUACUGAACGUCCUAGCUAAUGAAAUAAGACCCAAAAAGUAAGUAAAAUAUAUAGAUUGGGAGGGAAGAAAUGAAACUGUCUUGGUUCCCAGAUGACAUGAUCAUCUAUGUAGAAAAUCUGAAAGAGCAAUAAUAACAACAACAAAAACUCCUGGAACUAAUAAGCAAUUGUAGCAAGUUUGCACAAAACAAGGGUAAUAUACAAAAGUCAAUAACUUUCCUGCACACCAACAAUAAACAAGUGAAAUUUGAAAUUAAAAACACAUUACCAUUUACACUUACAUUGGCACCCAAAAAUGUGAAACAGGUAUAAAUCUAACAAAAUAUGUAAAGAUCUAUAUGAGGAAAACUACAAAACACAGGAAAAAUGUAAAAGAAGAACUAAAUAAAAGAAUAGAUAUUUCAUGCUGAUGAACAGGAACACUAAAUAUUGUAAAGGUAUUGGUUCUUCCAAAUUUGGCAUACAAAGUCAAUGCCAUCCCAAACAAAAUCCCAGUAAGUUAUUUUGUAGGUAUUGACAAACUGAUUCUAAAGUUUACAUAGAGAGGCAAAAAUCCCAGAAUAAUCAAUAAUACAAUAUUGAAGGAGGAAAACAAAGCUAGAGGACUGCCACUAUCUGACUCCAAGACUUACUCUGAAGCUACAGGAAUCAAGACAGGGUGGUAUUGUGAAAGAAUAGACAAAUAGAUGAAUGGAACAGAAUGGAGGCCCCAGAAACAGACCCAUAUAGAGAGACAUUUUUUACAAAGGAGCAAUGAUAAUACAAUAGAGGAAAGAUAGUCUUUUCAACAAAUGGUGCUGGGACAACUGAAUAUCCACAUGCCAAAAAAAAAAAAAAAAA
ensembl:lncRNA